rnacentral:rRNA from 1 species
GACGAACCGUGCGAACGUUGUUCGGAUUCACUGGGCCUAAAGGGCGCGUAGGCGGACGGUCAAGUCGGGGGUGAAAUCUUUCAGCUUAACUGGAAAAGUGCCUCCGAUACUGACUGUCUCGAGGGAGGUAGGGGCAUGUGGAACUUCCGGUGGAGCGGUGAAAUGCGUAGAUAUCGGAAGGAACGCCGGUGGCGAGAGCGACGUGCUGGACCUCUUCUGACGCUGAGGCGCGAAAGCUAGGGGAGCAAACGGG